rnacentral:lncRNA from 1 species
AUCUUCAUUUUUUUGCUCAUUAACAUUGCCCACCACCGAGAACAAGAGAUCAGAGAGAGAGAGAGAGAGAGAGAGAGAGAGAGAGAUGAUGAUGAUGAGGUUCUCAAGGUCAGGUUCCAUGGCUGUGAUCAUGCUACUCCUCAUGCUCAUGGGGUCGAUGAUGGUGCAACAAAACGAGGCAUGCCGGUUGCUCGGCGAAGAAUCUUGGGCCCGGCAAGGCAGUCUCCUCCUACAGGGUCUACAGAAGGGUCCGGUCCGCCCCCCUGGAAAUGGGUGCUCCUACACGGGGGGCGGCGGAGCUCCCUGCACGACCACCCGGAAUUUCGCUGCCGGCCAUGCUGUGGGGGUGGCUCCUCCGAAUGCGUACCCGAAUGGCUUGCCUCGGUUUGGCGUGACGACCGAUAUUAAACGAAUGGUUCAGUCUUGAAGUCAUAUCCAUCAGUAUGCCAUCGUUUGAUGCUGUAUAAAUUCACAGGAGUUCAUCAGUAGCUGGUAGAGAAAUUACUGUAUUGAUAGCAUUUCAUUUUUUUUCUUUUUUCCCAGCAAUUUGGGAUUCAAGGCUUCCGAAUAAUUGUGAUGUAACCUAUUCGCACAUACAUAAAGAAAGUGAAUUUUUUUUUUAAGUACUCUUUUGAGCUUUUGUAGCCGCAAAGCUAUAUCGUGCCAUAGACGUAGUUUUGCCAUUUGCUCUCUCAAAUAUUUGUCGGAGGAAGGUUGCAACCAACGAAUUGGUUGAAUAGGGUUUGGGAAUGGAUGGUUCUUAAUUCGGAUGGUCCGAGAGAUCUUCUCCUACACAAGUGAAAAUUUAUGAUUGAAUUUGUGCCGUAUGAUAGAUUUAUGAUUUUUUGGAUAAUUUUCCCUUUAUCACUAAGGAGGUAAUUGCAUGGGUGUCCAUUCCAAAAUGAUCAAAAUAAUCCUACUUUUUUGAGAAAUUUACUCCAAAAAAAAAAAAAAUCAUCUAACCCAUCUCUCCCUCCCUCCCUCCCUCCCUCCCCAGUCGCUAUUCCCGUUGCAUCCCCACCACCACCAUCCUCCUCCCUCACUUCCUUCCCAAAGGUAGAGGGAGCUUGUGGUGGUCACAAUAACAAUAUAGGCCAAGUGCAAUGUCGGAUCUGAUGUCACGACGUCCUUUACAAGGUAGUUGCUGAAAAAUCACACAACUGUUAGUAAAAUACUUGUACUGCCACAUAAAAUACACUUACAAAUGCGACUUUCAAUAAAUCACCUGUUUGUCAUACAUUUGUUGAACUUACAGUAAAACACACGUUGGUUUGGAGUAAAGCUAAGUAUACAUAUAUAAACCUACGCCAUACUAUACUUGUCUAUACUAUUUUGAUGUUAAGUUUAUUUGACAUCUUUUCAUUAGUCAAUUAACAAAUCAAAAAUAUUUUAAAUCACAUCAUAUUUACACAAGUGAACACAACGUUAUUUUGACAUCAUUCGAUAGUACGUAAUAACAAAAUUCAAUUAUUGGUUAUGAUUUUUUUUAAAAAUAUUGCACUUAAAAAUAUCUUUAUUUUUGUAUUCAAGUAAGCUCAUACUCUUCCAUUCUAUUACAUUGAUGUCAAAAUUUUCAUGUAGCUUUAAGGAAAAUGAUAAAUUUCACGUAUAGUAUGAUAUUUAAUCCGAGAGCGAAAGAGAGAGAGAGAGAGAGAGAGAGAGGCAUGCUGACAGUAGCCGGUGGAGUCAUGUGGCUCGGGCAUAGGUUGACGGUGACUGCGAUUCAGAGGUCUAUUGGGGGAAAUGGAGUCGUGCGGUUCGGGCGUAGACUGAUAGUGACCGCAAUUCAGAGGCUUGUUGGGGAGAGAGAGAGAGAGAGACAGAGGAGGCGGGUCCACAUUGGCGGGUGGAGUCAUGCCGUUUGGGCAUAAAUUCCCGGUGACUACAAUUCAAAUUUUUUGGGUUGCUGUUGUUGAAGUCCAUGCGUCUGGGCUCGGGACUACGACAGAGUUGCCUUAUGGGGAUAAGCCACCAAUGACGCCAAAGGUGGCGUUGGCUUUUUCCUAGGGCAAAAGGCGUUCUUUGAUUUUAUCAACUUCUCGCUCUCUCAAAAUUAUUUUCUUUUUUCAAAUUCUUAUUUCCAUUCAGGUGGGAUAAAAUUAUCCUGCCACGAGGGUUGAGAUAAGUUAUAAAAGAUCAAGUCAAACUUAUUCGGAUUUAUCCAAAUCCAAACGUGUCUCCAAAUAUCGGAUAAGAUAAAUUGAUGUUUUAUCCAUGUAACUAAGCAUGGCACUUGGAUUUCUUUUGAAAAAAAGGUGGGCUCAGCAAUUAUGAAAUAUACUUAGAUAAACCCUUAAGCUCAGGCUACACGGUCCGGUCAUAACUAGUGAUUUCAUUAGGUAUCGGACUAUCAGUAGAGUAAUGAAGCUUCCAUGUAUAAGACGGGUUUUGAACUUCUCCAACCUUACGUUCUAUGAAUCUCAAUCUCCUCCACACCACAAUUGUCGAAAAUCCAAACCCAUGGAACAUGUAAUAUCGGACUAAGCAAUUUCAAAAUAAAUAGAGGACGUCCUCACUAGACAUUUCACACUUAUCAUUUAACUAAGGUUGUCAAAUGGGUGUAUUGGAUCGGGUUUUGAGUGGGUUGAAAAUGGUGCGAUCCAAUUGAUCCAUUUACAUGCAAUACACAUCUAGUGAUCCAUAGGAAAUUUGACCCAUUUAAUGAAUACUUUCAUAUUUAAUCCGACCUAUGAAAAUUCAUAUCCAUCUAAUUAACCCAUUUUAAACUCUUCAUGUGUAUAUGUUAUUUAAAUAAAAUCAUUAUUUUGACUAAAAAUAUUGUAUAGGAUUUUCAAUUUUUGUAUUGAUUACAAUGAAGAAUAGGAAAAAGUACUUGGUCGUGAAUUUAUAAAAUUACAGCAACAAAUAACUAUUAGAAUUUUAAUUAAAUGAAAUGUAAGAUAUUGAAGAAGAAAAUUUAUGGUGACCGUGGAUUGCAAAUGACAAGAACUAAGGUUAGAAUACUAGAUAAAAAUAACAAUGUCAAAUGCAACCAAGGAAAGAUAUGUUGUUGUAGCCUAUAACUAUGGAUGCAACUUACGAGAUUCAUAAAAAUAGAAAAUAAUGAGGAAAAAAAGAAGCCACUUGAUACUUUCAAUUAAGGUGAAGUCAGAUCCAACAUUCAUGUUAAUGUUGUUCGUUCAAAAUUGGCAGAAUUGACACAAAUAUAGAAAGUUUAAAACUCUAAAAGAAAUAUUUAUGAUUGAAUUAGUAUAAUUGCAAUAAGUAUAGGAAUUUUUUAGUAAUUCUUAUUGUGAAAGUAUACUUUGAUUUGGAUUGUUCAUGAUUAAAUUUAGAUAAUCGCUUAAAUGAAAAUUCUUUUGCAAGAAGAAAAUUUGAUCGUACAACAUCUAUGGCCAGAGACAAUACAUCACAUCAAAUUGACGAAGAGAUAUUUUUGUGCCCUGCCUCCUUGACAUAAUCCAUCAUGCAUGGGACAUGCUGUGGCUUUGCUUGUAGUUUGCUUUCAAAGCCUUAACUGUUGUUCCAUACGUGUUUGACCCAUUCACAUUCUUCGUUUUCAUAAUACUUUAAUGUUUCCUCUUCAUUCUUUAUUCAAAGUCAAACAUCGUGUAAUCUCUCUUUACCGUCCAGUCUUAAACCAAAACCCAGUCUAACAUGUUCGAAGUCAUAGAAACACCCGCGUCUUCUUGAUUUAUAAAUAGCCCGACAACCUCAGAACACGGUCCCAUUCAUGUUCUCAUCUUCAUUUUUGUGCUCAAUAACGUUGUCCACCACCGAGAAGAAGAGAUCAGAGAAGAGAGAGAGAGAGAGAGAGAGAAAGAGAGAGAGAGAGAGAGAGAUGAUGAUGAUGAGGUUCUCAAGGUCAGGUUCCAUGGCUGUAAUCAUGCUCCUCUUCAUGGGGUCGAUGAUGGUGCAACAAAACGAGGCGUGCCGGUUGCUUGGCGAAGAAGCGUGGGCCCGGCAAGGCCUUCUCCCCCUACAGGCUCUACAGAAGGGCACGGUCCGCCCCCCCGGAAACGGGUGCUCCUACACCGGGGGUGGCGGGGCGCCCUGCACGGGCACGCGGAAGUUCGCUGCCGGCCGCACCGUGGGGGUGGCUCCUCCGAAUGCGUACCCGAAUGGCUUGCCUCGGUUCGGCGUGGCAGCCGAUAUCAAACAAGUGGUUCAGUCAUGAAGUCAUUAUAUCCAUUGGUAUGCCUGCUGGAUGAAUUUAAAGGAGCUCAUCGGUAGCUAGCUAAUAGAGAAAAAUGAUAUCUCAGUCUGUAGAGAAAUUCAUGUAUCGAUUGCAUUCAUUUAUUUUUUUCCCAAUAAUUUGGGAUUUAUGACUACCAAAUAAUUGUGAUGUAACACAUUUUCACACAAAUAAAGUGAAACUUUUCAAGAAAGUACUUUUUUUUUUUUUUUUUUUAGUCACAAAGCUAUCUCGUGCCAUGGACGUAAUUUUGCCAUUUGCCCUCUCAAAUAUUUGUCGGAGGAAGGUCGCUUCCCCACCGCCCCCAUCAUCCUCCUCCCUUUGUCCCUCCUUCCCCAAAGAUGGAAAGAGCUC